AUGUCGACACUCACAGGAUCCUGGCUUCCGCAGGACCCCCUGGAGGACUCUGGAGGCGCCAUUGUGGGCCACGUCCACAUCAGAAAGGACUACUCAGAACCACAGAGAGCCAGCCUUUCCUGGGGAGGCCUGAGGAAGACGUGGGGACACAUCCACGCUGAUGAGCCACAGCCUCUUCAGAACCUGCGUGGAGCCUUCAGGGGGAUAUUGGGCAACGUUCACACUGACAGGAGCCCUGGUCUCCUCAGAAUACACAGUGAGGCUUCAGGAAAUUGUUGGCCCUCACCCACCCUGACAGGAGCCCCUGGGCUGCUGCAGGCCCCGCGGGGAGGCUUUAGUAAGAUGUGGGCCCGCAUCCACGUUGACAGGAGCCCCUGGGCCGCCUCAGAACAUGUGGGGAGGCUUCUGAAAAAUGUGGCGCAGCGUCCACUCUGGCAGGAGCUAACGGGCCCCUCAGGACAUAAGUUGAGUCUUCUGGAAGCUGGGGGCUGCAUCCACAGUGACCGGAGCCCGGCCACCUCAGAACAAGCGGUGACGCUUCGGGAGGAUGUGGGGCCACGUCCACACAACUGGACGCUGAUGUCCUCAGGACCCCUGGUGUAGACUUCGGGACAUGGGGAUGCGUCCAUGCGGACAGAAGACCCCAGCCUUGUCAGAGUCUGCGGUGAGGCCUAAGAAAGAUGUGGAUGCCGAAUCCACACUGACAGGAGUCUCCAGCCACCUCAGGACACACUGUGAAGGAUUGGGAUGAUUUGGGGCCCCAUCCAUGCUGACAGGAGCCCCCAGCCUCCUCGGGUCUUAUGGUGAGGCUGAGGAAAAUAUGGGGCCACGUCAAGACUGAGAGGACCCACGUCCUCCUCAGGACCUGCACUUUGGCUUCGGGACACAUGGGGCUGCGUCUAGGCUGACAGGAACCCACAGCCUCCUCAGGACCCGCGGUGAGUUUUCUGGGGGACGUGGGGCCAUGUCCAGGCUGAGAGGAGCCCCCGGCCUCCUGAGAACCUGCUGUGAGGCUUCCAGAGGAUGUGAGGCAUAGUCCACGGUGACAGGAGACCCGGCGUACUCAGGACCUGCUGACUAUGACUCUGGAACACAUGGGGCCACGUGCGCACUCACAGGAGCCCGGCUUCCUCAAGACCCCCUGGAGGACACUGGAGGCACCGUUGGGGCCACGUCCAUGUCAGAAGGGACUCCUCAGAACCAUAGGGUAAGUGAAUGGGUAGAAUGAAUGGUAGGGUCAGGGGAGGGGAGGUGGUUGGUGGUUAGGCUUAGGUUAGAUGUUAGGGGUUAGUGAUUAAGCUUAUGGUUAUGGAUUAGAGGUUAGGGUGAGGGUUAAGGGUAAGGGUCAGUGGUUAGGAGUUAGGAAGGGGGUUUGGGUUAGGGACAGGAGUUAGAGUUAGGUUUAGGGUUUAGACUUUAGAAAUUAGGGCAGGAGGUUAGGAAUUAGGGUUUGGGUUAUGGUUAGAGUUAGGGUUGGGAUAGGUUUGCCUUUAGGGUUAGGGGUUAGGGUGUGAGUUUGGGUUAGUCGUUAGGGUUAGGGGGAAGAGUUAAAGUUAGGGCUAGGUUUAGGGUUAGGGCGAGGGUUAGGUUUAGGAUAGGGGUU
rnacentral:lncRNA from 12 species